rnacentral:rRNA from 1 species
GGGUCAGUAGGUUGGUCGUGCCACUGGUACGUACUGGUCUCACUGAUUCCUCCUUCCUGAAGAACCGUAAUGCCAUUAAUUUGGUGUUGCGGGGAAACAGGACUGUUACUUUGAAAAAAUUAGAGUGUUUAAAGCAAGCUAACGCUUGAAUACAUUAGCAUGGAAUAAUGAAAUAGGACGAUCGAUCCUAUUUUGUUGGCUUCUAGGAUUGACGUA